GACGAACGCUGGCGGCGUGCUUAACACAUGCAAGUCGAGCGGUAAGGCCCUUCGGGGUACACGAGCGGCGAACGGGUGAGUAACACGUGGGUGACCUGCCUCUAGCUCUGGGAUAAGCCUGGGAAACUGGGUCUAAUACCGGAUAUGACUCCACGGCGCAUGUUGUGGUGUGGAAAGCCUUGUGUGGCUAGAGAUGGGCCCGCGGCCUAUCAGCUUGUUGGUGGGGGAUGGCCUACCAAGGCGACGACGGGUAGCCGGCCUGAGAGGGCGACCGGCCACACUGGGACUGAGACACGGCCCAGACUCCUACGGGAGGCAGCAGUGGGGAAUCUUGCGCAAUGGGCGAAAGCCUGACGCAGCGACGCCGCGUGA
rnacentral:rRNA from 1 species